UGGGAUGCGCAUGCGCAGACAGAUAGCGCGACCGGCGGGCCUUGAACUUUAAGAGAAGAAAAACUUUCUCACGGACGGUGACAGCGAAACGGAUAACAGUCUUGAGUACCUGCUGGUCUUUGAAGCUCUGGAUUCUGGGACUGUUGGAAAAGCUCCAACAAAAUGAGGAAGAGGAGGGGGAGAAAAACAAUUAGAUUGAAUUACAAUUGGAUGGAAGUCGAGGACAAUGAGGAGGAAGCCUAGGAUGAGGAGGAACAAAAGCAGCAGGAGCAUCUUUAGGGAUCUCUAUGAUGUCAUUGAGAGGCGGUGGCGAGAGGGGAGACCUCGGCUCAUCCAGCUGGAGAGCCUGACCAGGAGGAGUCGAACAUUAACUCGGCUCUUCCAGGACACCCUGCAGACUUGGCUGCUGGCAACAGCGAGGGAUGAUGUGAACGCCAAACUGGAGUCCAUCACAGGUCGACUGCAGCUCCUUGUCUCAGAGUGGGAGGGAUUUGAAGCACAAAGGGAGGAGCUUGUCGUUUGGUUGGCUGAUAUGGAUGCCCGUCUGAGUGAGGUUGACCAGCUGACAGGAAACACCUGUGAAAAACUGAAACAACUGCAGGUGUGGGGUUGUUUUGAUAUGAUACAUAUGUCAGAGAUAUUAUCCUAAACUGGACUAACAAAGAACCAUGAGUCCAACAUGAAACUUACCUUACAUAAGGUGAGGAAGUCUCUGUAUGAGACCUUUAACGGAAUAACGAUGACAAACACAUUAGGAGUGCACAGGCAUCAAAAGAAAUCUGGACAAAAAUAUGUCUUGUCAUUUUGGACUCCACUGAGAAAACAGGAAAAAAACAGUCUACUUAAAGUACUCUUUAAUGAGCUAUCUGCAGAAAACAGGAAGCAAAUGAAGAAGAAAACAGACAACAUGAAAAUGCAACAAAAUUCACCAACUCAAGAGAAAAUACUUUAAUAAAAGUUGUCCUCUGCAAAAUUACACUUUAUAGGAAAUAAAGAGCUCAUGGACGAAUUAAAGAUUUCUUUAAACGUGUGUUUGCUGCUGUUCUGUCAAAUGUGGCAUAGACGAUGCAGUUUGUUUGAUCUUUCAAGUUGACUACUUGUUCAUUUGUUAGUCAAAAAAACAUGCUGAUUGUGCAAUAAAAAUAAAUCUACA